UGAUGGCGAACCUAACCACAAAAUGACCAUGAGAUUGUCAGGGGUCUAGUAAAGACAUGAUGGUGCCCUUAACUGUGAAGGUUAUGACGAAAUUUGUAGGUCAGUAAUUAAGAGAUGAUGCUGAUAAUAACCACAGUAAGGAGCAGGGGAUUUUGCAAGUAACCAGGUAAGAGAUGAUGGUAUCUCUAAAAAUAUGGUGACCAUGGAAUUUUGAGGAUAUCCAAUCAAGGAAUAAUGUGUUACUAGUAAUGGUAGUACCAAGGGAUUUUACAGUUACCCUGGAAAGAAAUGAUGUGUCCCUAGCAAUGGCAUUUAAUCUGGGUAAUUUGUAGGUCUUCAUGUAUGGUAGGCUUCUCUAAAUCUGGUAGAUCUCACGGGCUUCUGUAGGCAUCCACAUGAGAGAUGACGUGACACAAAUUGCAACCAAUUGCCACCAUUGUAACCUAGGUGUUUUAUAAGUAUCCAGCUUAAAGCUGUAGCUUUAUUUAUUCCUUGGAUGUAAGACUUUCAUGUUAUCUAUUGUUUUCUUUCUUUUUGAAACAGAGUCUGGCUGAGGUAAGUGCUGAUGUGGGCCUAAACCACAGCCUGCACCGUGGGACUGUCACAGAGACACAGUUGAGUGAUGAUGUGUCCCUACAGGCCUUACCACCAUUAUUUCCUUCAUACUUAUUCAGGUGUCCUGUAGAGAGAAAUGCUGUCUUCUGGGACCACCGCCCUGAGCUUGGGGGCCCCCACUAGCAUUCAGGUUCCCGGGAGAAAAUCCUGAAGAACGGGGGUCAUGAGCAGGGGACGUGUCUGCUAUCUGGGUAAGUGAUUGUGUGCACCAUAAACUUACCACGGACAACCUGAUCUUCACGUUUGUAGGUCAGUGAGGUUCCUUUCCCUGAACAGUUUACCAUGUGAUGCGUUUAUGGGUAUUCCGGUAAGAAAGGGUAGUGGCUCCUCGUUCUCCUUGCCAUGUAAUCCUAUUGUUUUCUGUCUUGGAGAGAACGUAUGAGGUAAGUACCCUGUGAGUGCUGAUGGAUUGGCACGUAACCAGGGAACUCCAGUGGCACUGUGCAUCACAGGAGUAACUAAGGUGGAUGUGCAGAGAAGACGGCCAGAGAAAAUGAAGUGUCCUAUGAUGUCCUACCCCUUGGAGCAACCACAAGC
rnacentral:lncRNA from 1 species